GCAGCCGCCGCGGGAAUACGAAGGGGGCUAGCGUUGUUCGGAAUUACUGGGCGUAAAGCGCACGUAGGCGGAUCGAUCAGUCAGGGGUGAAAUCCCAGGGCUCAACCCUGGAACUGCCUUUGAUACUGUCGAUCUGGAGUAUGGAAGAGGUGAGUGGAAUUCCGAGUGUAGAGGUGAAAUUCGUAGAUAUUCGGAGGAACACCAGUGGCGAAGGCGGCUCACUGGUCCAUUACUGACGCUGAGGUGCGAAAGCGUGGGGAGCAAACAGGAUUAGAUACCCCAGUAGUCCCUGUCUCUUAUAC
rnacentral:rRNA from 1 species